UACGUAGGGUGCAAGCGUUUAAUCGGAAUUACUGGGCGUAAAGCGUGCGCAGGCGGUUAUGUAAGACAGAUGUGAAAUGCCCGGGCUUAACCUGGGAACUGCAUUUGUGACUGCAUGGCUAGAGUUUGGCAGAGGGGGGGUAGAAUUCCACGUGUAGCAGUGAAAUGCGUAGAUAUGUGGAGGAACACCGAUGGCGAAGGCAGCCCCCCUGGGUCAAGACUGACGCUCAUGCACGAAAGCGUGGGGAGCAAACAGG
rnacentral:rRNA from 1 species